rnacentral:rRNA from 1 species
AUUAUGAAAGCAAAAAAUUAUGGCGGUAUUUUAAGCUUUUCAGAGGAAUUUGCUCUUUAAUGGAUAAAACACCUAAAUCUUACUUAAAUUUGUUAAUUCAAUUUGUAUACCACUAUAAAAACAAUUUAUAACUUUAAUUGUUGGUAUUUAUUAAAUUAAAAUAUAUUAAGUCAAGGUGCAGUAAAAAUUUAAGGAUGAAGUGAAUUACAUUACUUUUUAGAGAAAUAAAUUUAAAAUAAUAUUUAGGAUUUGAAAGUAAAAUUAAAAUAUAAUGUUAAUU